rnacentral:rRNA from 1 species
GGUGCCUUCGGGAACUCUGACACAGGUGCUGCAUGGCUGUCGUCAGCUCGUGUCGUGAGAUGUUGGGUUAAGUCCCGUAACGAGCGCAACCCUUGUCCUUAGUUACCAGCACGUUAUGGUGGGCACUCUAAGGAGACUGCCGGUGACAACCGGAGGAAGGUGGGGAUGACGUCAAGUCAUCCAUGGCCCUUACGGCCUGGGCUACACACGUGCUACAAUGGUCGGUACAAAGGGUUGCCAAGCCGCGAGGUGGAGCUAAUCCCAUAAAACCGAUCGUAGUCCGGAUCGCAGUCUGCAACUCGACUGCGUGAAGUCGGAAUCGCUAGUAAUCGUGAAUCAGAAUGUCACGGUGAAUACGUUCCCGGGCCUU